GCGCAGCAGGCGCGAAAACUUUACAAUGCGGGAACCGUGAUAAGGGAACCUCGAGUGCCGAUGCCCAGCAUUGGCUGUCCAUAUGCCUAAAAAGCAUGUGUUAGCAAGGGCCGGGCAAGACCGGUGCCAGCCGCCGCGGUAACACCGGCGGCUCGAGUGGUAGCCACUUUUAUUGGGUCUUAAAGCGUCCGUAGCCGGCUUGGUAAGUCUUCUGGGAAAUCUGGCGGCUCGAACCGUCAGGCGUCCAGGAGAUACUGUCAGGGCUU
rnacentral:rRNA from 1 species